GGGGGGAAACGGUCACCAGGGCGACCAACAAUCGGUGGGUCUAGAGGGAGGACAGCCACACUGGGGAUGAGACACGGGCCCCAAAUUCCCACGGGAGGGAGCAGUGGGGAAAAUUGGACAUGGGGCGCAAGCCUGGACCCAGCCAUGCCGCGUGAGUGAAUGAAGGCCCUAAGGGUUGUAAAGCUCUUUUCAACGGUGAAAAAAAUGACGGUAACCGUAAAAAUAGCCCCGGCUAACUUUCUUGCCAGCAGCCGCGGUAAUUACGAAGGGGGCUAGCGUUGUUCGGAAAUACUGGGCGUAAAGCGCACGUAGGCGAUUGGAAGUUAAAGGUGAAUCCCAGGGCUUCAACCCUGGAACUGCCUUUAAACUAUCAUCUAGAGUCGAGAGAGGUGAGUGGAAUUCCAAUGUAAAGUGAAAUCGUAAAUAUCGAGGAACACCAGUGGCGAAGGGCUUAUGGUCGAUACUGCCCUAAGUGCAAAAUUGGGAACAAACGGAUAAGAACCCUGG
rnacentral:rRNA from 1 species